GACGAACGCUGGCGGCGUGCCUAAUACAUGCAAGUUGAGCGCUGAAGGUUGGUACUUGUACCAACUGGAUGAGCAGCGAACGGGUGAGUAACGCGUGGGGAAUCUGCCUUUGAGCGGGAGACAACAUUUGGAAACGAAUGCUAAUACCGCAUAAAAACUUUAAACACAAGUUUUAAGUUUGAAAGAUGCAAUUGCAUCACUCAAAGAUGAUCCCGCGUUGUAUUAGCUAGUUGGUGAGGUAAAGGCUCACCCAGGCGAUGAUACAUAGCCGACCUGAGAGGGGGAGCGGCCACAUUGGGACGGAGACACGGCCCAAACUCCUACGGGAGGCAGCAGAAGGGAAUCUUCGGCAAGGGAAGAAAGGCUGACCGGGCAACGCCGCGUGAGGGAAGAAGGGUUUCGGAUCGUAAAACUCUGUUGGUAGAGAAGAACGUUGGUGAGAGUGGAAAGCUCAUCAAGUGACGGUAACUACCCAGAAAGGGACGGCUAACUACGUG
rnacentral:rRNA from 1 species